ACCGCAUAAGAUUGUAGUACCGCAUGGUACAGCAAUUAAAGGAGUAAUCCGCUAUGAGAUGGACCCGCGUCGCAUUAGCUAGUUGGUGAGGUAACGGCUCACCAAGGCGACGAUGCGUAGCCGACCUGAGAGGGUGAUCGGCCACAUUGGGACUGAGACACGGCCCAGACUCCUACGGGAGGCAGCAGUGGGGAAUAUUGCACAAUGGGGGAAACCCUGAUGCAGCAACGCCGCGUGAGUGAUGACGGCCUUCGGGUUGUAAAACUCUGUCUUUGGGGACGAUAAUGACGGUACCCAAGGAGGAAGCCACGGCUAACUACGUGCCAGCAGCCGCGGUAAUACGUAGGUGGCAAGCGUUGUCCGGAUUUACUGGGCGUAAAGGGAGCGUAGGUGGAUAUUUAAGUGGGAUGUGAAAUACUCGGGCUUAACCUGGGUGCUGCAUUCCAAACUGGAUAUCUAGAGUGCAGGAGAGGAAAGGAGAAUUCCUAGUGUAGCGGUGAAAUGCGUAAUU
rnacentral:rRNA from 1 species